AUAGAGGGUGAGAAUCCCGUAUGUGCCUGGGUGCUUUUGCCUAUGUAAAGCUCUUUCAACGAGUCGAGUUGUUUGGGAAUGCAGCUCAAAACGGGUGGUAUAUUUCAUCUAAAGCUAAAUAUUGGCCAGAGACCGAUAGCGCACAAGGAGAGUGAUCGAAAGAUGAAAAGCACUUUGGAAAGAGAGUUAAAAAGCACGUGAAA
rnacentral:rRNA from 1 species